UACGUAGGGGGCAAGCGUUGUCCGGAAUCAUUGGGCGUAAAGAGCGUGUAGACGGCCAGAAAAGUCCGCUGUGAAAACUCGAGGCUCAACUUCGAGCUGUCGGUCGGAAACUUUCUGGCUAGAGUCCGGAAGAGGAGAAUGGAAUUCCUGGUGUAGCGGUGAAAUGCGCAGAUAUCAGGAGGAACACCAAUGGCGAAGGCAGCUCGCUGGAACGGAACUGACGCUGAGGCGACGAAGGCGUGGGAGCGAACAGG
rnacentral:rRNA from 1 species